UACGCCGUAAUGCUCUCCCUCUGAAAGCUCCUCCCCUGCUCCAAUGGCGACGAAACGAAGGAGCUUCAACGACGCCACACCGGUAAGUUUCCUUUACUCCCUUUCUCGUUUUUGUUUAUUUGUUGUUUUAAGAAACAAAAGAAAAAAAAACAAAAUAAAAUAAAAACAGUAAAAAGAACAGAAGAAACAAAGCCAAAAUCUGUCACCUUCAAAAAUGUUUUUUUCGUCUAUUUUCUUUUCGAUUUCGGUACAAAAAUUUGCUCCCCAUUACAGAGAUUGAUUGGCCUUUUUAUAGCCGAAACAACGGAGAAAGAAACUAUCGAAAAAAACUCUCCUCUUUUUGUCGUAAUUUCUGCUAUUAUUUCUAUUCGUGCUUCAUGCCUUGUUGCAGGUACGGGCAUCGUGCGAAGCUACCAGACGUGGGUGAGACGACGUGGGCAGUUGCUAUGCGUUCGUGCGUGAAGACGAUUGCUGCAACGUGGGGGCGAGGGUGACGCCGAUCCGCUGCUUAUUGCCAAAGGUUUCUGCUGUUCAUUUUUUUUUUGUGUUUUAGGCUAGUGGGUUAGGUAUUUGGGUUGUUUGGGUAUUGGGCUUGUAAUUUGGUUAUUGGGUCAGGGUGCUAUUGGGUUUAAAACUGGGUUUAGUAAUAGGCUAUUAUAUAUUUUUUAGCCAGGCCAAAAUUGACCUAUUACAUUAUUUUAACAAAAUAGUCUGAUAUUACAAUUUUAUUUCUCCAUUAUAAAUCAUUUCUCAGUUUUAAAAAUUUCGGUCACUAAAAUUAUUUGGUUUAUGUCCGAGGUAUUUUUGAGUCGUUGGUGAUGCGAUAUCGCUUCGAGCCGCACACAUUUCAUAUAUCACGUCGAGAUGGGAUCAUUUCAUACAAAAUUACCGUCGUAGUAUAUAAUGGAUUUCACUCGUCGACUCAUUUCAGUAUCGAUCACGCAUUGGAUGAAUAAAUGCAAAAAAAUAAGUGGAAAGUUAUCCAAAGGAGUACACACAACUCUCACAACACAAUGUUCUUUUGUUUGAUAUUAACUUGAUACGUGUCUAUGUUAUGAAAAUUACGCCUCUUUUAUAAGAGAAUUAUGUAGGGAGAAAGAGAAUACAUGUUUUGAAUUUCGUUUGCGAAUGCAUACAUUCGUUGCAUAUUGUAUUGUGCAAAUAAUUUUUAGAAAGCGUUCAAAAGUCAUAAUUACAUCACACCUGUGCUCCUGAGAGAUUUUGUGCUACAUAACAUGCUUUACAGGUAUUUGAAAAAGUACUUUCACUCUUAAAAGAAAGGAGAUUUGUUAGAGAAAGCUCAUCCAUUUGGGUGAGCUUUCUCUAACAAAUGUUCUAUUCCCCGGGGUGAAAAGCCUAAUGUUUCAAAUAAUUCGAACGCUUUAAACACGUUUAGAAUAUGUUCAUCACUCCUGUAGCAUGCUUUCAAGGUUUUUCUUUGCAAACAGACUCUUCCUUACGGCUAUGAAAGGGCUCAUACACACCAAGCUUUAUCAUCCUUGAAUCAUAUAAUUUCUCCCCAAUCAUCUCCAUUUCUCCACUAUAAACCAUUUCUCAGUUUUAAAAAUUUCGGUCACUAAAAUUAUUUGGUUUAUGUCUGAGGUAUUCUUGAGUCGUUGGUGAUGCGAUAUCGCUUCGAGCCGCACACAUUUCAUAUAUCAAGUCGAGAUGGGAUCAUUGUCUUCGAAGCCUAUCCUAGGGAAGUCAGUUAUGGGUUGAUUUUGCUUUCUAUGGUCAAGGGUGGAAGUCGACAUAGAGGUAUCAAUCAAUAGCCGUUAUGUGGUCAUAGAUCAGGGUAUAACAGGGGAGUUAGUUGACGGUCAUUACGCGACAACGAGAUCAAACUUUUCGAAUACCCAAAAAUGUUGCCUUAAAAAUAUCAUACAUAAGCCUGAUGGCAUAAUCAUAUGAAAAAACUCUAGGGCUUCUCGUUAUAAUUGGCGUAAUUUUUUUCUCCGUUUUUAGACAACCGACACCUAAACAUUCCUUCUUAUUUGAAGGCUAGCACCGUGAUGGAUGCAAGAGGACUUGGGGAGCGGUUUUUGCAGUACAGUAAAGGUGAUGCUCCUUUCGAGGUGAUGACGAUUGUUGUUAUUAAAUAACCCAUUAAUAACUACAACCGUUGUCGCACCAACCUGAGUUUGACCUCUACUCUAUCAGAACAUUCACUCUCCACCUAAGAGCUCUUUUGUGUCCACCUUGGUGUCAUCCUUCGGACAAAAAUGAAAGGUUAAAGAUACCAGGUGCUUGGAAAUAGAGAAAAAAAUCACGUUGAUUAUAAUGGAAAUCUCCAGAGUUUUUCUGUGUGAUUAUGUCCUUAAUCUUAUGUAUGGUAUUUAUAAGGCAUCAUUUGUGGUAUCCAAAAUGCUUGACCUCCUGACUGCGUAAUAACUGUCAUCGAGACCCCAGUUAUACUUGAACCCGUGAUCGCAUCACGACCUCCGAUUGGGACCCCCACCUAGACUUCCACCCCUGGUCGUAUCAAGCAUUAUUACCCUAAAAUCGAAUUUUCUCACGAUGGGUUUCUCAGGUGAUGAUCCUAUCCCGCCAUGACAUAUGAAAUGUAUGUGUGCUGAGGCACGUUAUCACAUCCCAACCCCUCAAAGCUACUUAAGAACUUCCGCCGUUUCAGUCGAAAACCCUGAACACUUUCAAAAUACCCAAAAAACCAAAAACCCCAAAAAACCCUAACCUUACAAAAAUAAAAAACCCUAAUUCCUAUCAUCUGUGCAAAAAGCAGGCCCAACUGGAUGUGCUUUCACUUUCUCUCUCCUAAGAACGAUCUAUUUCUCCUAAUUAAAGUUUAAAACGGCUCAAACGCCUAAUUUAAAAAAUUAGCAUAUUAUGCUAAUUUAGCCACAAAUGGACCUAAAUUUUUAAAUUUAAAAAGGAUAUGGGUAUGUAUUUGACAUUUGUAUGGUCAGUUUUUAUAAGUUUUAUUUUAUUUUAUGUAUUUGGGUGAUUUUUGGAAGUUAAAUUCUUAUAUUUGAGUGCCGGAUAUGAAUACUUCAAGAAAAUUUUAUUAUAUGCAUUUCCCAGUUCAUCUAAUUUUGAUGUUAUUUAUUCGUUCUUUGAUUCUAUAUUAUUCUUUUGUAUUUUCGGGAGAUGAUAUCUUUAUUAUUUAAAUAUGUAUCGGAUACGAAUAUUUUAUCUUUAAUCGAGUAUAAUAUUAUUUUGCAGAAGCAGAGCAAAGCAAGAGAAAAGCUGAAGAGGAGGAAACUAGACCGAGCAUUAGAGUCAGUUCAACUCCACGUCCUCGAGCAGUCAUAUCUAGUUGUAGUGAUGAUUGUGAUUCUAAAUGAAACUUACAAGACUACAAGUAAAUAAAAUGGAAAGAAUUAUUCUGUUCUUAAAACCUCAAUUGCAGACAACAAACCAGUCCACAAGCUAAGAUCAGCAAAGAUUUUGAGCCGAGGGUCAGUGUUGGGCUAACCCCUUAACCCAUUUUUGAAGGUUUAAAUCUACACCAACAACCGGGAGCCAUCAAAUUUUCCUGCUUAAACGGGUUUGAAUUUGAUGCAUAAGUUGCUAUCUGUCGAGUUCUAAGCUGGGGUUGUUUUCACUAAUCAAUGACAAAAUACUUGGGCGUUUUUAUAGUAAAAGAAAAUCUAAGCAAAUGAGCUGAUUGGAGAACUCUAGAGACACCACCACCUCAAACUAGAUAAUGUUCACCUUAUCCACUCCAUUUUUAAAAUAUCUUCCCAUCACCCUUAUCUACUAUUCAUAUGUCAUUAAUAAAUUCAGCUGGUUUUUACACUUCAUUUUCGUACUUGCAGCGUCACACACGAUCCCGUACCAAAAAAUGCAGGCAGCCUUGAGCUUGGCACCUUCACCUCUCUCCAUAGUUACAACUACAAAACCCUUGUUUCCGCCAUGUAAAUCCAUGCUAAAAUUGCAGACUCCAAGAGGUUUCAAAGCAUCACCUGUUGGACAGGAUAACUCAACAGUUGAUUACAGCUCCACGGCAUCGUAAGUAUUACUUUACAUUGACUCAACCGGCUUUUUUAUUAACCAGGGUGAUCAUCUGUGUCCUGCAUCGACUUGCUUUUUGUUGUUGUUGUUGUUGCAGAGUAUUUCCAGCUGAGGCAUGCGAUACACUUGGAGGAGAAGCCUGUGAUGUUGAGAUGUUCCCUGAAGUGAAGCUAAAGCCAGAUCAAACACAAAGCAAUAAGGGUAAGACAGGUUCAGAGCAGGUUGACAGAGAAUACUUGGAGUACAACAGUCCCAAGACGUAAGAUGAUGAUGAUCUUGAAUUUUGCACUUUCAUUUCAUUUAUUUCCAUUAAUAAUAAUAUAUAUAUGAUACUUGAUGAAUAUUUCAGGGUGUUCAUAGGAGAGGCUUGUGAUGAUCUUGGAGGAGAAUUCUGUGAGCCCGAGUAUCAGAAAGGAGUUCAAUGAUUUUACCAGAUAAACCUCAAAACAGUAACUGCAAAUAAAUAAUGGGGUGGUCGCCUUCUUUGUAACCUGCAUACUGCCUUGUGUUUAUUGUGUAAUAGUCUAAAUUUUAAGCUAUUUAUCAACUUUUUUUUUCCUGCAGAUCAAAAUGGUAAUAGUCUAUAUAUCACUAAAGGAUAUCUAUCUUGUAAAGACUAUUAGUUGAGGUCCUUCGUUAGAUUUUAUAGAAUGUUGUUAGCUUUGGAAUGGCCAUAGAAUCAUUUGAACUUGAUUUGUAGAUUCCAUAAAAAUGUUUCCUAAAUUAAUCAUAUAACUUUUUGAAAAUUUGAAGAUUCCCAAAUUGGAAUUUUAGAAUUUCAAGUACCUGGAAUAGGAUAUAUGUAACAAAUUCAAUACUCUAUGAAGUCUUAGCAUGUGGAGGGGUUGUACCCUCCACACCUUGUUAGGAUUUUUUAGUGGAAGCUUGUUGGGUAUUUUUCUCAAGAGUAAGCUCCUCUGAAUUGAGCUCUCUCUCCCUCUGCUAGUUUGUCAAGAUCGUUAAUCAGCAUCUCUAAGUUCCAUCACUAUGGCAGUAAUGUUUCCACAAAUGUCUUUGUUUCAUGAUUUAAGGAUUUUUUUUUUGACAACUUCCAAGUGAUAAUCGACUAACCUCAUUCAACUUAAACAACUGGAGAUAAGCUUAUAUAAUUUUAAAUAAAUGAAUCCGAAUAAAAUUUUAAAAUUCUGAACAAAUAUAAAUUGGAUAUGAAUAAGCUUAAAAAUAAACAAAGGAAUAUAAAUAGAAAUUCAUUCAUUUAAACUCAGUUCAUUUACCAUUCCAAUCUCAUAAUGUCUAAAUGAGUAGAACUAUAAUAAACUGAAGAGUUUGUAUAUGGUCUAACUCGGCCUCAUGAACUAUGAUGUUUAACUCAUUUAUGCUAAACAUACAUAUCACCGUUUGAAUUAGACGUGUUUGAAAGUAUGAUCUUCAAUGUAUUUUAAUUUGAAAAAUUAAAUAAAUAAACUUGUGCUAUUUCAUUGGAGCAUAUAUCCAAUAAUGGUAUACUUAAUUUUUUAAAUUAUUCAAUAUUUAUGGAAUAUUGUCCCUUUCAGCAUAUACAGUCAACUCUCUCUAUAAUAACUCCAUUUGCUUGUCAAGAUUUUGCUUGUUAUAGAGAGUUGACUGUUACACACUUAUAACAAUAUACUAUUAUAGAGAGAUAAGUGUUGUAAACCUAUAACAGAAUCUAUAUCGUGAAUUUCUACCAAAUGAAAACCUGAAAAUUGUGCUUAAGAAAAAAAAGAAAGUGGAAUCAAAUCAACAAAAUUAAAAUACGUAUAGCAAGUGCAUGCAUUAUUGGUUUUAUGCAUAUUUUAUUUUGCAUUCUUUCACAUGAUUAACUAUGAUGUUAAUAAAUCUAACAAAUUAAAUUAAUCAAUACGGUUUAUCAAAUUAAAUUAAUUAAUUUAUCGUGAUCUAAUAAAAUUCAAAUAAUCAAUUUACUAACUUAUGAUGUUCUAAAUUCAUGGUAGAAUAUUUAAUUAGAGAACUUAAUAGUUUAUUAAAUUGAUAUCUUUAAUUCCACUCAUUGAAGAUUAUUUCAUUUAAUAAAAUAAUAUUAAUAGAUUUUUCUUCUGAAAUUUAAACAGUUUAUUAAAUUAAUAUUUUUUUAAUAAAUUAUAAUUAAUAGGCUUUAAACAAUAUAUUAUUAUAGAGAACUAAUUUAAUAAAUAAUGUACUUCAUAAUUAUGGUUGAUGCUUUUAUAAGUGAAAAAAUGUUAUAAAGGGUUAAAAAUAAAACAUAAAAAUUGAUUCUACUAGAAACUUUGUUGUUAUAACGAAAUGUUAUUAUGGCAGAUGACUAUUAUAAAAAAGGUUGAUUGUAUCUAAUAUGUAGUUUAUGCCUAAACCGGUAAAUUAUUGAGUGAAUAAAAAUUAAUUAAAAAUUUUCCGGAAACAUGUUGAAUUAGCCAACGCCCUUAUGUACUCAAACUUUUUAUUCUGACGGUUGAUGGAGCUAUAAAGAUAAUGACUUAAAAAUGUUAUUAUCUAUAAAUGACAUGAAAAAAAUGAUAUUAUAUCUUUAUUUAAUUGGUAGGGACCAUAAAUAAUGUAAUAAGAAUGGUUUAUAAAAUAAUUUCUUCCGAUUCUUAAUUCAUAUAUAAUAUUUUUAAUAAUAACAAAAUCAAAACUCAAUAUAGAGUCAUGCAUAUAAAAUAUUGUUUUUAUUUUUAAAUUAACUAAACUUAAAGAUUUGUGAGAUAUUUCUGUGUGAUUCAAAUAUAAGUUGAAGACUUGGUAUUUCUCCUUAUGAUUUUUGAAUGAUUUAGAAAAUUUUGAGGAUAUUUUUUCAAAUUUUACAUUCUGUUUGUACGAAAAUUCUUAAAAUAUUAAAGAAAUUUAAAUUUAAAGUAAUUCAAAAAGCAUCAUUCCUGGAUAUUAGCAUUUGUGAUUAUUUUAUUUAAGUGAAUAGGUUUUUUUUUUAAAAAUUAUAAAAAAAUAAUAUUAAAAAUAAAUAAUAUAAAAACUAUGCAAUACGACUAAUAUUAGAUUUAAAUAAAAGAUUAAAAAUGCAUAUUAGAAUUAAAUAGAAGAUAUUUUUAAAGUUUGUUUUCUAUGGUAGUAGCAAGUGUAUUAAAUAAAAUAGGUUCAUGAAAAAUUUUCAAUUAUUUUUACUAAAAAAAUUGAAUUUAAAAUCUUCAACUUUUGGAAAUGUUAGGGUUGGUUCUAGGGUUGAGGAACCUUAAAAAAAAAAACAGAUAAUAUUGCAUUUCGUACCUAUACUUUUAUAAAAUAUUUGAUGUGAUAUUUUUACUUUGAAAUGUUUAAUGUGAUACUUGAGCUAUCAAUAUAUAUUUUAGUAUAGUACCCGUAUUGCCAUAAACUAUCAAUAUGUGUCUUUAUUAUGAUACUCGGUGUAAACAACAUUAGUGAAUUGUUAAACCAACCAAUAAAAAUUCGAUACAUAAUUUUUUUUUCCAAAUCAUGAAGUCUGCAUGGAUAAUAUAAGGUGAAAAACUAAAUAAAACAAAAAAAAAAUUAAAUUAAAAGCAAAAUACUAAACAUAUGAUUUAAUAAUUCUAAUACAAAUAUAAAUACCAGAUUAAACAAUUUAUGGAAUUACACAUGUCAAAUAUUACGUUAUCUUCUCAAAAGUAUCAUAUAAAUCAUACAAUAAUAUCCUCACUGAUUCCCUCUCCAUAUAUAAAGGAAAAAUUGUUGACUAGUUGAUGGAUAUAUCAGAAAACACACUUAACCAGCAACUUUCUUAUUGGGACAAAUGUACUCGUAUUUCAAUCCUACCAUAUAGUUAGCAACCCUACAAACAAAUGCUGAGCACCAAAAGAAUUACAGCACAUGAUAUAUGGUAGUAGCAGUCUUAGUCUUAAACACACCCCAAAAAAAAUAUAAAAAAAAAACCCUCACAAAAGUUUCAAUUAACAAUCAUAAACUGGAACUGAUCAAAUGCAUGCAACAGAAAGCAAUUAACCUAUAUGGAUAUAGCUAGGUAAACCUUCCAAGGAAUAAUCUCUUCAGCCUUGAUAAUAGAGACUUUGUUUUCUUAGGAACUUUAUGGCUCUUCUCGUUGUCAUCAUCCACCACGUUCAUUUUGGUACCAAGUAGUUCUCUAAUCUUUCCUCUCUUCUCAUCAUUUCUCCUUAUCAACUCAGCCUGCUGGCUUAAAUUAUCCUCUACCACCAGUUCUGAAACCUUGAACCUCAGUUCAUUCCACAGCUUCUCAUUCUCCAUUAACUGAGAACCAUCACUUAUAUUGCGCUGGAAUGUAACACCAUUCACGUUCUUCGAGGUCUUGCUCGGGUCUGCUGGCCCUUUUGAGGGAUCAUGAUGGAAUUCAAUCUCAUGUUCAGGAUCUUCAGCUCUGGCUUCUUCAUGUUCUUCACCUUCAACAUGGUUUUGCAGUCCUUGGUUGUUGAGUUGGGAUCUCAGCUGAUCAUACUUCUCGGCUAACGAGCGGUAUGAUUUCUGCAAGUCUUCCACCAUUUCGAUGAGCUCGGGUCUCUUUUGAUAGUACAUUUCAGCCCGCUUAGCGAAUGUAUCCCCAGCAUCUUGCACGAUAAUGCUAAGUAUGGCAUUUAUCUUCAUAUCCAACUCUGCAUAAAGGAUUAAUAAAUCCGUGAAUGAAACUAUUCUACAGCAACAUAACUUUACAAUACGAAAUUUAAAUAUUACCAUUGGAGGCAGUGAGAUUAGAGUAUUCCAUUGAAUCUAAUAUCUAUCGCCACUAAGAAGUAAGAACUGAACACUAAUAAAAAGCAUGCAGAAGAAGAAGAAACUUUAAAUGGGACAAAUGGGUAUUGAGAUGCGUAUGGUUGAAGAAAAAGUUUAGUUUCCUUCCUGUGUGAUCCAAGGAAUGUGAUGGGAGCUUGUGUCUCAUUGAAGCAAAAGCAAAUGCAACAACAACAACUCAAAGGGACCAGACCAGGAAGCCACUAUAGACCAGUUAACAUGCAUGGGAUGGGCCCAAACCAAGAGUAACCGUAUACCCCUAUCAACUUUGUCAAUGAUUACUACCCUUUAACAAAUAACGAACACGCCACUUAAUUAAUUAGUACAUCAAUCCUCAUACAUCUGAUUAUUGUGGAAGAUUAUAAGCAUAGAUUCCCAUCAACAUCAACAAACAAGAAAAAGAUUACGAGAAAGAAUAGCUUGAAGCCAUUGAGAUUGCUGGCGGAGAACUUGGCUGUCCACCCGAGAUAAAACUGCAGUCUGAUGUUGUUGCACUUCUUUUUCCAUAAAGGUAGCGUCGUCGUCUCAACAAUUGCUUGAGGCUUGCGAAACAGUAAUUGUUGGAUUACUUAGACUACUGAAUCUCUAUUAGGGACUCAAAGUUAAUUAAUUCGAUUUUUCUUUUCUUUUAACCAAAUUAUUUGGUUUAACAGAAAUUCGAUUUUUUAGUUUUUAUAUUUAUAUUCAACCAUCUAAAGUUAUCAGUUUAGGACGCUCUACAAUCUUGAAUUCCAGAUUUGAAACGUUAGGAUGUUAAAUUUUAAUUAAUAUUUUUUAUUGAAGACUGAUAAUAUAGAUUUUUUUUUAUAAAUAUGAAUUUCCAAAGUUUAAUGUGUAAUUUUAUACACUAACUUUAAUUUUGUAUAAAUUUAUACAUAAAAUUUUGAUUUUCACAAGUUUUCAUAAAUUAUUAACACGAUUAAUUAUAUAACAUCAUCUUAUGUUUAUAUAUUACAUACACAAAUAAUUAUAUUUAUCCAAUAUAAAAAUAAAUUAAUAUAUUUAUUUAUUUAAAUGUGCAUAUGAUUAAAUCAAAAUUAAAGUUUCAUUUAUACAUUCGAACUAUAUAGUCAAAGUUCAUAUAUCAAACUAUACGUUGAAUCAAAAUUCAUGUGUAAUUUUAAAAUUUAUCCCUAUUAAUAAUUACACUUGCAAUGAGCAUUGCACACACAUAAUUGUCAUAUAAAGGUAGACCAUUGAUCCUUUGUGUUAGAUACGAGGAGAUACCUAUAUUUACCGGUUCUAAAACCCUUUUUAUAAAAUAUUAUCAUUUAAUUUUUUUUGAUAAUCUCAUUAUAAGUAGGAGGCUAAUACACUUCAGCGCACUCAAACCCGCAUCCUAUUGCAUUGACAAUAAUACCCUUACCAAUCGACCUAAAACUCAAUCGGCUAUUAUCAUUUAAAGUUGAAUUCACUUUUUAAAUGGGGUUUUAAAGGUAAAAACUGUUUUUUUUUUUGAAAAUUCUAUCUUUUAUAUUUUAAUUUUAUUGCGAAUCAUGUGACAAAUUUGUGUGAAUUUCAAAUUUAUUUAUAAAAAGUUAAAUCUUUGUAUUUAUAAAUUUUUUGCCCUUUUCAUUAUAUUGUACUUAUUCACUCGUAUUAAAAAAUAUAUUAUAAAUUUAUCCUUUGUUUAUAUAAAUCAUAAAUUAUAAAUAUUCACUCAAAAAGAUAAAAACGAUAGAUACAAUAUUAAUAAUUUAAUUUGAAUACAGUAAAUAUAUGAAUUACAGAAAGAAAAGAAAACUGGAUUAUUAUGACUGGAGUCAUUUUAGGCCCCAUUACCUUUGAAGAGAGGCAUUAGAAUAUCAUUAGUGGGGUCUCUGAAAUGCCCCAUUUAUAGGCCAUUACCACUCACAAGUUCAAAAUUCCAAUCAUAUUCAAAUUGGGGCUAAAAGAAGACAUUUUUCUAAAAGGAGUUUUUUCUAUAAUUAAUGGGUUAGAAUUAGAAUUAACAUAACAUAACCAUAAUAAAUUAUAAACCUAAACUGAAAUAAAUAUAAGCAUAUCCCAUACAUUGUAAAAUUGAAGUCUAGACAACCCACUACAUGUAGAAAUGGUAGAAAUCAGAAAGAUUUAAACAUGUUUCUUUGCUAAAAGAACACAUUACAAACAUACUUUUAAUUAAUUAAUUAAUAUUUGUUUUUUUUUUAUGGUGUGUACCUCGUAUUUAUUGGACUAUUUGUAGGCAGUUAGAAAGACGAUUGACGAGCAAUCGAAGAAGGCCAAAAAUAGGCUCAAUGUCAUGACGAGGAACGUCGAGAUGACGCGGUGGAUGACACCACGAUGUGGCGACGUGUUCCCACAUAAAUUGGGUCUUUUUUCCCAGUUAAGCUCUACUAUCUUUUCCAAGUUGAACUCUGAUUAAUUUAGGAAUAUUUUAGUCAUGUUAGGACUUUAAUAUUAACCUAUUUAAAGGGUCUUUGUAACCCUAUUUUAGAGAGUUGAUAGAAUAUCUCUUAUGUGGGAUUUGAUGAAGAGUUUUGGGGAGAGUUUUUGACAAAGCUUUGUAUUUGGGUUUUGGAUUUUUGCUCAUUUGGAUUAUUUUCUCCAUCUUGUACUCUUUGUUGGUUUGCCGAAUUAGUGAAGUCUUCUUUAUCCGUGAUUUUUUAUCCUCUUAAUUGAGGAUUUUCUACGUAAAUAUUUGUAUUCAAUCUUCACAUUUCUAUUUCGUUGUUUAUAAGGUCGAUCCCAACAUUCUUCAAUUUAAGUUACCUUUUAGAAUUCAAAAAUAAAAAGAUUUACCCUAUCACUUCAAAAUAAAAUGAUACAAGAUUUGUCUUCAAAUAUUAAUCUAGAUCAAUUUAAAUUAUUAAUGUAUAAUGAUAAAUUUAGCUUAUGAUGUUUACCUAUUUCCUUUUUUUUUUUUCAUUUUGGUUCUAAUAUUUUCUUUAUCACUUUGGCCAUCAACCUUCAAAUUUUAAUCAAAAUGCUCUGCUUUAGAUGUAAAAGUUGACUGAAAUGUUAAAAUUUUAAUGGCACUUACAUAGAUAAUUUUUUGAAAAAUGUUAAUUUUUUAUUAUUUUCUUUUGAAUUUUUAUUAAGUACAUGUGAAUUGUCACAUGAGUAGUCACGUUAGUGACUUUAAUAUUUUUAUAGUCCAAUCAAUUUUUCCAUCUAAAAGAAACAAAUUAACUAAAAUUUGAAGAUUAAGGGACUAAAAUGAUCAAAUAAGUAAGUGUUAAAAACUAAAUUUUUCACUAUACCGAUGAAACACAUGGAAUGUAAAGGCUUUGAAAAGGAACUAUAACAAGCUAUAAUUAUAAUAUUUUUUUGUAUCAAAGUAAAUAUUAUUAAAAGCUUUCCUAGUUGAAGUAUUGUGAAGAUGGGACAUAGACAAUGCUUGGAGGCUACUACAUGUCGGCCUUCUUACUUGUCAAGUAAACGACUGGUGUUAUAGGUCGAAAUAUAUGCAAUACGUGGGAUGGUAUGUAGAUGCUUGUUUGGGGAAAACAAGUUGGUCAAAUAUGGUUUGUAUUAUAACUUCAUUUGGAAACGUGACUUAAGUGUCAGAGAAAAUUUUUUAAAUUGCAAUUGUGUAACUAGUCUUUUUGAAUUUCAUUUGAAUGGGUUUUAGAUGAAAAGUAUAUUUAGAUAAAGGGAUUUAUGGCUAAAUGAUCCACAACAAAAAGAUUCAUCACUCGAAAUUAUUUAAGAAACAUAUCGUAAAUGUUUAAGUUUGGAUUAACCAAAAAAAAAAACACCUUUGGCUAAAGCAAGAUGAAUUUAGGAGAAAUUGGUUCUCUAAAUUUAAAUUCAUGGGGCUAACUGGGCUUAACUUUUUUGUUGGGGGAGUUGAUUGACCGUGUCUCUUUGGGAUUAUCAUGUGUCAUAUCUAGAAGAAUCAAAACUUGUUUGUUUUUCAAGGCACUUCGUGUAGUGUUGAUGAGAUAAUUAAAAUUUCCUACAACUAGAUGAAGCAGUAUUCCUCAGUUUCAAGGAUCUCACCUUAUGAAUCACGAAGUUAUCUUUCUAAUUGGCCUACAACUAGCAACUGGGUGUGUUUGAAUAUUGAUGGUUUGGUUUGGUUGGACAAGGGCUUUGCAGUUGAUGGAGGUUGUGUGAGGGAUCAUAAGGGUGAGUGGAUCAUUGGGUUUGCUAGAUAUUUGGGUAACUGUACAAUGUUGGAAUCGGAGCUUUGGGGGAUCUUGGAUUGGUUGAACCUUAUUUUGGAUAGGCGCUUCGAGAAUAUUCUUAUCCAAACAGAUAGUAUUGAAACUAUUAACUCAAUCAUGGAAGGUACUUCGGGAAACUCUAAUUCUACCAUAGUCAAGAGAAUUCAUCAGACUCUAAAAAGGGUGAAACAAUGGGAAGUUCAGCAUAUUCCCAAAGGAGACAACUUAAUUGCUAAUAGUCUGGCCAAGACAGUUCGUACUAGAAAAUUAGGUUUAAAACUGUUUGAGGACUCUCAUUGAGAGUCUAGUUUAUUUAUUUUGUAUCUUUCUUUCUUUCAAAAAAAAGUUCAUGCAACAUGCUGAUUGUCAAGUGAAAGGAUCACUUAUGCAAAUAGAGCAGUAAUUAAAAGAUUUGUUCGAGGUCUCUCUUGAUUUUACAAUAUUUUGGGUGAUGCUUAGAUCUCAUUUAUAACAUGCAUGCUUAAGGUCACUAAGCUUAAAUUAAAUCUUUGCCAUCAAGGCCUUGAGAUUCGAUUAACCAUAACUUUAUUCAUCAAAUGAUCAAAUUCAAAGAAAGCUAAACCUAAAUUCCUCACUUCUUGUCCAAAUAGUUAGCAUUUGACUUAAAUCUAGUUCCUGUGAAGUGAAAAGAGUAUCACACAAGCUCAAAUAUCAUUUUUAUUAAGGUUAUAGUGCAAAUCUAUCACUUUAGUAGAGUGAAUAUCGAAAUUUAUCAUUAUAUUUUAUUUUUAUUGGUAAUUUGCUAUUAUAUUUUAAAAAUAUAAGCAAAUUUACAGCUCAACUUUAAUUUUUUAAAAUAAAAUUUGCCAUUUAAUAUUGAUUUCGAUGGUUUGAAAACAAAAUAUAACCAAAAAAAAUAAUUUAAAUAUUUUAUUUUAAUAGUUAACAAUAAAUUAAUUUAUAAAAAAACUAUAAAUUAAUAAAUUAACUUCGAAUUUUCAUUUAAUGGAAGACUUGAAAAAUUAAAAUAUAAAAAGGAAAACUAAUUUUAUUUUUAUAAAUGAGAGUUUUUAUUCAUAUUUAAAAUUAUAUUAAUUAAAUUUUCAUUUUUCAUUAUUAAAAAAUAUUUAAAAUAUUUUUAUUGAAUUUGUCCUCAAGUUAUUUAAAAUUAAAAAUUGAAUGGUAAAAUUUAAUAAAAAAUCAAACUUAAGUUUCAAAUUUCAAUCAAGCAGGUAAAAUUCAAUAUAGAGUCAAAGAGAGGUAAAUUUAACUUUAAUUCAAAACUACAAUGGAAAAAUAUCAAUAAAACUAAAUUAUAGUGGAAAUUUUUAAUUUUUACUUAAAUAUAUAGACAAAUUUACGCAUUAGCUCUUUUAAAUAUUUUAUAAUUUAUAUAAAUAAUUUUUUUAUUUUUUUGUACAAAUAUAUACAUUCAUUAUAUUCAAAUAAAUAAACUAAAUAUUUUAAAAGGCAAAUGUUUAAUGAAUAGGCGAAAGGAAAUUUUUACCCUUGGUCUAGUAAAACUCACUUAACCUUCUGCUUAAUAAGGUGUUGGAAUUUAUAGGUAGAAAUUUAAGUAACAAGAGAUGAAUAGACAUCAUAUUCAUAAAAGAUCAUAUUUAAUGUGAUUCAUCUUUUGCCUACACUCAUGAUCUUAAAAUGGAUAAACAUCACUAUCUCCUAACUUUUCUACACAUAAAUCACUAUAUAUCCCUCCUAAUCAAAACAUUUUAUAAGCAUUACAUCUUCUAAAUGCUAUAUCUUAGUCUGCAUUUUACUUUAACACCACUAAAUUUUAUUCACUAAGAUUCCUACCUAUUAAAAAUAUCUAUUUUAUUAAAUAAAUUUAACUAUCUAUUAAACUUGGGGUAAUAGAACUACACGAGAAUCAUGCUCAAAUACUAGCAAUCAAAAUUUGGGUCAAUAUCUAACCAUCUCCACUUGGACUCAAAUUCCAUCAAAGCAUAUUUGGCCUUCCAUCUUUAACAUCAAUUCACUUAUAUAGAUAAAAAAAAAUCAUUAAAGCACCACUAGAUCAAUUAAGAUUUGCAACAAAUCUUCUCUCACAUGUCCACAACGUUACACCCACAUUAACUUGUAAUUUUUGCACAACUAAAACUAUACACCUUCCCCACAACCAUGCGUGUGUUUUGCACUGAUAAAGUUACAAACUUCCUUGCACAGAUUCUUUAAGAAUUACAUCUAUCAUCUAUUUUUUUUUAAUUCUAAAAGCUAAUCUCUAAUCUCUAUUCAUGAGAACUAUCAUUUGAUCACUGAUAAAUCUUUUUUAUUAUGAUUUCAUCUUUAUCAAUAUCAAGUAAACUUGACUAUAAAAGUAAUCCUAAUUACACUAGAACCUUAAUUAAAUAUUAUCAAUUAGAAUUCAAGUCAAUAUCUAACAUAGGUGCCCCAUUAGAAAAGCAGUUUGAAAUCAAAUGUGCUAAGUAGAUUCCCAACUAGGAAUAGCAAUGGGGUGUUACAGGACAGGAAUCCUUAACCAAUAAAAUUAGACUAAAAUCCUAAUUAACUAUUACCAUUUAGAAUUUUGAUCAAUAUCUAACAUAAGUGUCCAUUGAAAAAGUAGUUUGACUGGAAUAUGCUAAGUACAUUCCCAACUAGGAACGGCAAUUGAGUGUCGCACGGCGAGGAUUACCUCGUCCACCCCUACAUGUUUGUAUGAAUGUUAAAACAUCAACAUCCAUGGAUAUCAAUUAUAUUCAUAAUCCCUCUACACUGCUCCACAUCGCUCCACCACUUUUCUUUCACUAAUGAUUUUUCAAUUUAAUAUUGUAAAAAUAUAUAUAUUUAUAGUUUAUUGGCAAACAAACGUUCAAUGUAUAUAAUUCUUUAAACAGAUGUAUAAUAUAUAUUAUUUAAAAGGUUCAAAAGGGACCAAACCAAGAAAAACCUCUCCAUUAACGUAAUACCCGCAAAACAUAAAAAAAAGGGGGGGGGGGGGGAGCUUAAAUGCCUCCGUGAAAUCUUAAAACGUUUCACUUAUUGAUUUUAAACCAUUUUUAUUUUUUAUCUUAAUCAUUUCUACUUCUAUAUUUUAGGCUAUUAAAUCGAUAGUAACUUAUAAUAAAUAUUAAAAUAUUUCUAACUUUUACUUUAUUUAUUUGAUGUUUAAAAAUAUUGAAUGUUAAAGAUUUACAAUUUUAAAUUUUCUAUAUAAAUAUAAAAACAUAUUUGUACGUGUAUAUAAUAAAGAUUUUAUUAAAAUCCUUUAAAAAAAAAGCUUUCUAUAAAAAAUAUAUAUCUGAAAAUUAGUAAAAAAUACAGAAUCAAAAUCUCCCAUACAGUAAAAACUUGACUGAAUGGGUGUGUGUUUUACUCUGAAAUUUUUUCUAUCGUUUUCCAAUUUUCAAGAAGCAAACACGCUGUAAAACCGUGCAAAAAGUAAGACGGACAAGCAAAAAACACAAGAAUCUCUUGCAUUUUACGUAGUUGACCAGUUUAGUAGUGGUCCUAAAGAUUAUUUUUGUGCGGAAUCUCUCCUACGUCAUAGCCACACGUAUGUGGCAGGGCCGUAGACAAGGCAAAAUCUUAGUUAUCAAGCAUAGGCCCUGAGAAGCACAUUUGACUUCCACUACUUGGUCCUUUCCUUCAUUCCUUCUUUUCGUAUUGUCCGUUUUUAUUUUAUUUCUUGUUAUACCUUCCACACCCUCAAAACCAUAACCUCCUCCAACUAAUUCGGAACUACACAAUUAUAGCCCUUUCUGAAUCCCACACCCAGGACUUCACGGUCCACCAAAAUUAACAACCACAAAACAAAUAAUAAUAAAUAAUAUAUUACAUUUUAGAAUUAAAAACACAAUCUCUUGAGAUUCUUAUGUUUCAAUGCUAGACAGUACAGCCCCUAAAUCCCACGCCGCACCUCACCCCAACCUAUUCGGUUGGCUACCAUCUGCUCAAUCACCCCAACCUAUUUGGUUGGCUACCAUCAAGCUCUCCUCUCUUGACAUUCCUUUCAUUUCUAAUCAUCUUUGAUUUCAUUUUACUUUUUAACACUCACUCCUUUCAACUAUUUUUUUUUCCCUUCAAUUAAUUGCAUUUCAUUUUUACAAAAUUAGGCAUUUGGCAGUUCAUUAGUACCGCAAGAGAGUUGAGCAUUAAUGAAAGCUCCCCUUUUAACCAUGCUCAACCAGGUCAUCUUUUCAAAUCCUAAAAAGCCAUCAUUAAGGGAAUUUGCAGCUCUAAGGGCAGAAAAAAAUUUCUAUGCACUCUGUCAAAAUCAAACCGGUUCAUGUAACUCCUUUCAUCAGGUUGGCAAUCGAAGGGGGAAAGUCUGCAAUUGCCAACCAAAGAGAGUGGACAAUGUGUUAAAAAGUGAAAAUCACGGGGGGUGCUCUCCAUCCCAACGUCAACCAACCCCAAAAAAUACCUGACGGUUUUCCAUCUCCCACUUUCUUGUAUUUGACUCUUGAUUUUUAUCAGGUAUUAGUUUUAUCAGGAAAAUGAUUAGGGAGGUGGUGAUUAUUUAUGGUUUAAUGGCAAAGUCAUGCUCAUUUGCCCUCCUAUAGAGCAGUGCUGAUGCUUCCACCCUGUAUUUUUUAUUUAAAGGGAAAAAAAAGGUGUCAAGUCUAAAAAUGCUAAUAAUUGCCAUUAUACAAGUAAAUUAACAAGUAUAAACAAUCUCACCAGCCCGGGUGAACAACAAAUUUUCCAGUAGAUAGAGCCCAAUUCACCUGUUAAAAACAAAAUCAUGAAUCAGAUUUGCUUAAAGCUACAUGAUCACAACUGAAACAAAGAGCUCAGAUUUCCCAUGCUAUAGUCAAUGAAUCCAACAAGAAAAAAGUUUGUUUGCAGAAAAAUCUUAAGGCAAGAAGCAUUUACAAAUAAUUGUCUGGCAGAAAAUACACAUGAAAAUUAAGCAACUCGGAUUCUGAUAAGGUUGACUACAAUUCUCUUGAACAAUGCCACCACGAAAAACUACUAAAUUUAAGCAAUUAAACUUAGAAAAAACAGAAUACACAAGUGUCAGUACCUUGUCUGUUCCGAGAGAGUUAGCCACCACAUGUGUAACAUGCUCAUCUAUCUGAUUUGUGCACACAGCCCCAAAUUGCUCCGCUGUCUGCCACAGUGGAUGUAGGUGAGGAUUGGCUUCACCUACAGGAAACACCCUGCUAAAUACUAUACGACAACCAGACAAAAUCUUCCUUUGUUCUGUUGCUAGGAUAUUUCUAACAUCCAGAUCAUCUAAAUUCUGAUGUGAAAAGAAAUUCUGGUGUAUUCUCUCAAUAACCUAUUUCAACAAAAAUAGCGGUCAGACAUUAAUUUUUCAUAAAUGACUAUAUGAAGCAAAACAGUCUUCUCACCGCCAAAGAAGAAGCCAAAGUCCCAUCUUCAGGUCGCUCAUCAUGGUCUAUCUCAAGAAGAGAUGGACCUAAAAGACCAAAUUGGCGCCUACUACAAGGAAAAUAAGUAUACCUGUGCAAAUCAUGAUGGAAGGGCACAAGAUCAACACGGUGGCAUGGAUCAAAGUACUUGUAAGUUUAAGCAAGACAUGCAUACCUCUCUACAACAAUCAAGUUAAGUUUAUUAUGAGGCCAGACUCUCACAGAGUCAUCAAUGAUAACCACAGAUGAUUCCAUACCCAGAACCCCUUCAAGAUCCUUACUCCGGGGAACCCUCUCAUCACCAUCAAAGGGAUCACCAUCAUCACCCCUAGAAAUAACUCGUCCAGCAAACAAAACCCCUUUUGGGUCAAGCACUUUUGCCAUCUCCGUAGCAUAAAGUUUGUUGCCCAUCGUAUAAAGAUGCAGCUCAUACAACUUACUAGCCUGAAAUAGUAAGAGAGAAUCAGUGUCAAUUAAAAAUCAGGUCCUAGGGAGUAGUAGAGCCAAGGAAGAACUCAAAUGACUUGCCUUCUCUAAGAAAUUCCAGAUUCCAGGUCGCAAUUUGGUCCACAUUCCCAUAUGGUGAAAGCGGAAAAGAUGUCUCUGUGGUUUUUCACGAUCCUGUUCCUCUUUCUUUCUUAAGAUUUCUUCAUGUACUGGGUCUACUUCAAUAAACUGAGAAGACAAAAGUUAAAUGGCUUGAAUAAGAAAACCAGAAUUUUUUUGAGAGAACUGCUAAGACUUUAUUUACAACAACUCACUUUGGCUGAAUUAAGAAGUGUAUGAUCCAGAUCCAGGACAAGACAGAGUUUGCGAGCAGCAAACAUUUUCUUUUGCUCUUCUAUCCUCCUUGCCCUUUCUCUCUGGAUAGCUGCCUUUUGCCGGUCAUCAUAUUUUUCAAAGAGAUGUUCGACAUCUCCCCAUGCAUUCUGUGAAGGAGGAGGACAUGUUACACCUGCUUCAGGCGCUGUACCAGUCCCAGUCUGCUGAUCCUCAGAAUUAGAACCUUUUGUGUUCUUAUCCGUGGUUUCAGACUUCACUUGUAUUGGUUGGGAGACUAAAUUCUGGGACACUGCUGGCAGACCGGCAAAUGAUUGCGGACCAGACAUCAUGCCAGCAAUAUUUUUUAGACUUUGGGUAAAUUGCUGGGCAAUAUCUGGGGGUGGAACAAACUGACAUUGUAUUGGCUUAGCUUCUAUCUGAUUCUCAAGCUGUUUUUGGGCAUUCAUAUUAUCCUUGCUUCCCUGGGUACUUGAUGCAGGGGAGGUCCCAUUAGUUUUUAAUUGAUCAGGUCCUACACUACCGCUCUUUUGAAGCACGUUGCCAUGGAGAACACGGCGGGGAUCACGAGGUUUCAUGCGAAUUUUGCAAGACUCAUCCUGGAAAGUCAUCAAUUGAACAUCAGGACCAAAAAUGAGAUAUGUGAAUAAAUAUUAUUUUUCAUGCGUUCAACUAAAGGCAAGUUAAUUGUAUUUAUCUUCAUCUGCUUGAAACCUAGAAAUGGUAUGAAGAGAGACUUGCCAAAGAGGCCGAUGCUUAAAACAGGUACAACUUUGCACAUUUUUACCAUUUCAUUUUAUAUGUGUGUAUGUAUGUGCACUUAAAAAUAUGUAUAUAUUUAUGUGUAAAUAUAAAAUGAGGUACUCACCAAAGGAGGACCCUGAAGAUUUCCUGCAGGUUUUGACAAAGUACCAGAUGAGCUUGAGGGAACAACGUUAACAGAGGGCGAGGGAAUAACAUUUGCUGGGGGAAUGACUCCCAGAACUGGAUUUGAGCUUGGCUGAUACAAUGUAUUUUUUAGAGGAUCAGGAGUUUUCUGCUGGGAUUCAGAUGGUAAUCUCUGCUGUUGUCCCAUCUUAAGUAUAUUUAUCAGCAUGGUAGGAUUUACUGCAAUAUCUUUCAACAAAGCAGGCAAGGAAGGGUUACUCAUGCCUGUCAGUGGCACCUGCUCAUUUUUGUUGACAAUCGUAUUGGUUUUUCCACUUAGAGUACUUGAACAAGUUACUCCAUGUUCCAUUUUCCAGGAAUUGGAAUCCAAAGUCUCCAUGGUUUGGUUUCUGUUUGUUAUCUGAGACUCACAAUUAUCAGUGUCCUCUAACCACCCACCAUUUCCAGACACAGCUUGAACAUCCCUAACCCCAAGAUUUUCCAACUCGUUCUUCUGUCUUUUGGGUGCAGGACCAUCUAAAACAGGUUCUUCCGUGCUCUUUUUCUUUCUUGGAUCCAUUAUUCCACUAACAGGUGGCACUUUAGAUGCAUUAUGCAAGGGCCUUUGGUUUAGAUCCAAAGCACUCACAUUAGAGUUGGCAAACCGAAGUCUAGGAUCUCUGCUUUUUGCUGAAGCUUUUGACAGUAUAUUAGAUGCAGAACUCACAGUCACAGGUGUGGCAUUUUGAGUUGUAAACUGUCCCUGCAUGCUGGAAGUCGAACUGGCACUAUCAAUAUGAGGUGCCGAGGAAACAAUUGGAUGCCCCAUAACAGGCAGAUUUGGUUUAAAAUUACCAAUGCUGGAGGAACUAGAAACCUCCCCACCAGUAUCACAACCCUCAUCACCGGAUUCUUCAGAAGGGGUUGGGCUAGGAAGUCUAUCACUUGAAAAGAAAGAACCUCGACCAAAUUUUCUUUGAUAGCUGGAAAAGGCUUUGAGGGCAUCCGUUUCAUAAGGAUGCAUUUUAUUAUGUUCUUCAUCAGGCAAACCCUUAGCCAUCAUAAAUCCAGAUCUAACCAUACCAUCUCCAGUAGUCAAUGGCCUGAGUACAGGUAAACAUGGUGUUGUUUCUCGAGUAGGCGAAGGAAGGCUGUCUGCAUCAUGAUCCUUGUGAAGGUCUAGCAGGGGUAGUGAAAGACCUUUGUUCCUAAAAUUAGGUAUUCCAGGCUUUAAAGCUUCUGUUAACAUAUUUGGCAUAUUAUGAAUUUCGGAAUCAACAGAUAAAGGCAACUUAUUUGUGACGGUCAAAUCAUGACCAACAUUUUCAGCUAAAGCAUCAGGAUCCUUCUUAUUAACAAUCUUAAUCUCUUUCUCUGAGUCAAUUGCUCUAGCAGGGGAAUUUAGCGAUAGCAGCAUCACCUCUAUCUGUAAAGACAGACAACUGUGUUUAAGCUUGCCAUAAACACAACAAUCUUACAAAGCUAAUAGUUUAUAAACUAGUAAGUCAUGAACAACACACCUCUUUCAUCUUGUCAAGAGGAAACAGAGGAGGAUCAAAACCCUUUACGACAGAAAGUAGCCUGUUCCCAAAAUGCAAAAGAAGGAGAUAA
rnacentral:lncRNA from 1 species